UCCACGCAAAAUUAUACCCUGUUAACCUCUUAUCUGUCCUUCCUCCAAAACGCCAUCUUUUGAUUGCCCACGGCGACACCAUCUCGCCUUCUGCCCGAUCCCAAAUGGAGUCCGUCGCGGCAUCGGCGGCGAUCCCCUCGUCGCCGUCCCACCUCUCCUUCUUCUCUCCCAAGAGAAUCGCCCCUCGACGCCAAUCCAUAGUCCCGAUCGCCUCCAAGAAUAGGGAAGAUGCGGCGGAUCGUAGUUCCGGAUCGUCGCCGUCUCCCCUCUCCUUCUUCUCACCCAAGAGAAGCACCCCUCGACGCCAAUCCCUUCUCCCGAUCGCCUCCAAGAGUAGUAGGGAAAACGACGCGGAUCUCAAUUCCGUGUCCGAAAGCACCAGCCUCGUCCCUUUCCUCGGCAAUCGCGCCCGCGCACCUCUUUCCCCGUUCCCCAAUGAUACGGCAAUGGGCUUGGUUUUGAGCGCGGCGGCUGGAAGAGGGUGGACGACGGGAUCCGGAAUGGAGGGCCCUCGGAUCCCUGCCUACUCCGAUUCCGCCGAUCAGACUGUUCUCACCUUCCCCUGGUCCCUCUACACCAGGUCUCCCCGCCGUCGGAUGCGUGUGGCCUUCACCUGCAACGUCUGCGGUCAGCGGACCACUCGUGCCAUCAACCCCCAUGCAUACACCGACGGCACUGUCUUUGUUCAGUGCUGCGGCUGCAAUGUGUUUCAUAAGCUGGUAGACAAUCUGAAUCUGUUCCACGAGAUGAAAUGUUAUGUGAACCCGAGUUUCCACUAUAAAGGAGACGUGUCAUUCAAUUACAUGGAUGCAGAUGAUGAUCAGAACAUCUUUCCCAUCUUAUAAGUUGGAAGAACUGGAAUGUGUUUUUGAUCUAGAGCAGAAGUCAUUCACCUCCUCUACAAAUUUUCAUUAAAUCUUCAAGAGGUGCAUGCAUCACCAUUGAGAGAUUGGAUAUUAUAUCUAUCUGACUAAGUUCUUACCAGCCAAGUAAGCUAGCAUUUUCAGCACAUUCAGUAUAUGUGGGAUGAGGUUAGUUUGCUUUAAUGCAUUUGUGGUGUGGUUGUUUUACUUUCAAUAAUUUUGGAUAAAAAUUUCCAUUUGAGAAAUUACGAGUAUUCUAAUUAUAUUUUGAUAGA